AAUAGAUACCCCGGUAGUCCACGCCGUAAACGAUGAGUGCUAAGUGUUAGGGGGUUUCCGCCCCUUAGUGCUGCAGCUAACGCAUUAAGCACUCCGCCUGGGGAGUACGGUCGCAAGACUGAAACUCAAAGGAAUUGACGGGGGCCCGCACAAGCGAUGGAGCAUGUGGUUUAAUUCGAAGCAACGCGAAGAACCUUACCAGGUCUUGACAUCCCAUUGACCACUAUGGAGACAUAGUUUUCCCUUCGGGGACAACGGUGACAGGUGGUGCAUGGUUGUCGUCAGCUCGUGUCGUGAGAUGUUGGGUUAAGUCCCGCAACGAGCGCAACCCUUGUUCUUAGUUGCCAUCAUUUAGUUGGGCACUCUAAGGAGACUGCCGGUGACAAACCGGAGGAAGGUGGGGAUGACGUCAAAUCAUCAUGCCCCUUAUGACCUGGGCUACACACGUGCUACAAUGGACGGUACAAACGGUUGCCAACCCGCGAGGGGGAGCUAAUCCGAUAAAACCGUUCUCAGUUCGGAUUGUAGGCUGCAACUCGCCUACA
rnacentral:rRNA from 1 species